AGACAGAGAGUGCAAACGUUGCUCGGAAUCACUGGGCGUAAAGCGGGUGUAGGCGGGUCGACAAGUCUGGUGUGAAAGCCCUGGGCUCAACCCAGGAAUUGCAUCGGAAACUGUCGGUCUUGAGUGCCGGAGAGGGAGGCGGAAUUCCCGGUGUAGAGGCGAAAUUCGUAGAUAUCGGGAGGAACACCAGAGGCGAAGGCGGCUUCCUGGACGGCUACUGACGCUCAGACCCGAAAGCGUGGGGAGCAAACAGGAUUAGAAACCCUAGUAGUCC
rnacentral:rRNA from 1 species